rnacentral:rRNA from 1 species
UACGUAGGUGGCAAGCGUUGUCCGGAUUUACUGGGCGUAAAGCGCGCGCAGGCGGUCGUUCAAGUCGCGUGUGAAAGCCCCCGGCUCAACUGGGGAGGGUCACGCGAUACUGCUCGACUCGAAGGCAGGAGAGGGAAGUGGAAUUCCCGGUGUAGUGGUGAAAUGCGUAGAUAUCGGGAGGAACACCAGUGGCGAAGGCGACUUCCUGGCCUGUUCUUGACGCUGAGGCACGAAAGCUAGGGGAGCAAACGGG